rfam:Gossypium arboreum cultivar AKA8401 contig_29185_1, whole genome shotgun sequence.
AUCCCAUAAUAAGGACACUCAUGAAGUAACUCCUUAAAUCACUUCCAAGCCUCAUACAAAGACUUGUCAUCUAAUUUUUGGAAAGUUGUGAUCUCAUUCCUCAACUU